AAUUCAUUGGCCAAAGCGGAUCGUUGGUCACACUCGUGGCUUGGUUCGGUCUUUUCGAGUACCAGAACUGAGAGGACUGUAGCAAUUUCAAAGUUUACAGGCGGGUCUCACCCCUGCAGAUAAUGACCGAUCGAGCCAAUCACAUCAGCGUUGCCAUGACUGAAGACGUCACAUCCACCAACGGGACGCCCAGGACCAAGGUCAUAACCAGCAGCACCAUGGUGGAGCUGAACAAGCUGCAGCCCCGGGGCUCCACGGUCAGUUUCCACAGCAUCCAGUACAAGGUGAAGCUGAAGACUGGACCGCUCUGCAAGAGGAAGAACACUGCCAGGGAGAUACUGGUGGACCUCAAUGGCAUCAUGAGACCGGGUCUAAAUGCCAUUCUAGGACCCACUGGAAGUGGAAAGUCCUCGUUCCUGGACGUUCUAGCAGCCAGGAAGGACCCCUCUGGUCUCUCAGGGGAGGUGCUGAUCGACGGGGUGCCACAACCACCCAACUUCAAGUGCCUCUCCGGCUAUGUUGUCCAGGACGAUGUGGUGAUGGGGACUCUGACGGUGAGGGAGAACCUGCGAUUCUCUGCAGCGCUGCGUCUGCCCCGCUCCGUGCCCCAGAAAGAGAAGGAGGGCAGGGUCAACGACCUCAUCACCGAGCUAGGCCUCACCAAGGUGGCCGACGCUAAGGUUGGUACCCAGAUGAUCCGGGGGAUCUCUGGAGGGGAGAGGAAGAGGACCAACAUCGGCAUGGAGCUCAUCAUCGACCCCUCUGUUCUCUUCUUGGAUGAACCCACCACGGGCCUGGACGCUAGCACCGCUAACUCUGUCCUGCUGCUGCUCAAAAGAAUGGCCAAUCAGGGACGCACCAUCAUCAUGUCCAUCCACCAACCGCGUUACUCCAUCUACCGGCUGUUCGACUCCCUGACCCUGCUAGUUAGCGGCAAACAGGUGUACCAUGGGCCGGCCCAGAAUGCACUGGACUAUUUCGCCGACAUAGGUUACGCCUGCGAGGCCCACAACAACCCAGCCGACUUCUUCCUAGACGUCAUCAACGGAGAUUCUACUGCCACUGCUAUGAACAAGAUUCAGGGAGAAGACAUUGACUUUGAGGAGCUGAGUGGCUCCAGGCAGACCAUCGAGGAGCGUCUAGUGGAGGAGUACAGGAACUGCUCCUACUUCAGAGACACCCAGGUCGAGCUGGAGAGGAUCACCCAGGGAAAGCAGUACACCACCAAGCCCACGUCCCGUACCAUCACCUACAACAGCUCCUUCUUCACCCAGCUCCACUGGGUCCUAGGCAGAACCUUACGGAACCUGGCGCUGAACCCGCAGACCUCCGUCGCACAGCUGGGAGUCACCAUUUUUCUGGCUCUUAUUGUGGGUGCCAUUUUCUUCGGGGUGAAGGACGACCAGAGUGGAAUACAGAACAGGAUUGGUGCUCUUUUCUUCAUCACCACCAACCAAUGUUUCAGCACGCUGUCCGCUGCCGAACUCUUCAUCACAGAGAGGAAGCUGUUUGUCCAUGAGUACAUCAGCGGGUAUUACAGAGUCUCAGUCUACUUCCUGUCCAAGAUCCUGUCUGACAUCAUCACCCUGCGCACCAUCCCCGCCAUCAUCUUCAGCUGCGUGGCCUACUUCAUGAUAGGUUUCAAAACCACUCCGGCAGCCUUCUUCAUCUUCAUGUUCACCGUGACCCUGGUGGCCUACACAGCCACCGCCAUGACCAUGGCCAUCUCUGCCGACCAGAGUGUGGUGGCAAUGGCCAACAUCUUCAUGACCAUCAGCUUCGUCUUCAUGAUGAUCUUCUCAGGUCUGCUGGUGAACCUGCCCAGUAUCAUGAACUGGCUGGCCUGGUUGAAGUACCUCAGUAUCCCUCGCUACGGUCUAACAGUAAGUACCUCAGUAUCCCUCGCUACGGUCUAACAGUAAGUACCUCAGUAUCCCUCGCUACGGUCUAACAGUAAGUACCUCAGUAUCCCUCGCUACGGUCUAACAGUAAGUACCUCAGUAUCCCUCGCUACGGUCUAACAGUAAGUACCUCAGUAUCCCUCGCUACGGUCUAACAGUAAGUACCUCAGUAUCCCUCGCUACGGUCUAACAGUAAGUACUUCAGUAUCCCUCGCUACGGUCUAACAGUAAGUACCUCAGUAUCCCUCGCUACGGUCUAACAGAAAGUACCUCAGUAUCCCUCGCUACGGUCUAACAGUAAGUACCUCAGUAUCCCUCGCUACGGUCUAACAGUAAGUACCUCAGUAUCCCUCGCUACGGUCUAACAGUAAGUACCUCAGUAUCCCUCGCUACGGUCUAACAGUAAGUACCUCAGUAUCCCUCGCUACGGUCUAACAGUAAGUACCUCAGUAUCCCUCGCUACGGUCUAACAGUAAGUACCUCAGUAUCCCUCGCUACGGUCUAACAGUAAGUACCUCAGUAUCCCUCGCUACGGUCUAACAGUAAGUACCUCAGUAUCCCUCGCUACGGUCUAACAGUAAGUACCUCAGUAUCCCUCGCUACGGUCUAACAGUAAGUACCUCAGUAUCCCUCGCUACGGUCUAACAGUAAGUACCUCAGUAUCCUUCGCUACGGUCUAACAGUAAAUACCUCAGUAUCCCUCGCUACGGUCUAACAGUAAGUACCUCAGUAUCCCUCGCUACGGUCUAACAGUAAGUACCUCAGUAUCCCUCGCUACGGUCUAACAGCCCUGGAGAUCAACGAGUUUGUGGGGCUGAAGUUCUGUGAGGACCCUGCCAUUCACACCACCAUGUCUCCUGGCUCUGGCAUGAUGACCAACUGUAGUAUGAACACUACUCACGCUCUCGGGAU